AUGGAAAUCCUCCCUUUUCCAGCCAGUCGGGAAAGGGAGAAGAGCUUGGAGGAGGGGGCUUCCACUCAGGGUGCCUUGCCCAGAGCUCAUCACGCGGCUGGACUGAGCUUCCAGGGGCUGGGAAAUGCCAUUCCCACAGGAAGCUCCUUUCCAGUGAAGCUUCCGCACAAGGGAAGGGGUGGUACAGGCCGUCCACCAAUGUGUGAUGACUCCACUUUACAGGUGACCGUGUUUGACACUGCCGAGCCAAGCCGGCCCCACUCCAGCACACAGGUGACCCCUCAGAGAGUGGCAGAGGCAGCGAGUUGCUGCUGGCGCUGUGGUCUCAGCAGGGAGCACAGUCACUACCAUCAACCCAGAACGAGCUUGAGAGCAAUCAGAUGCUCCUUAACAGCCCGAGCUCGUGUGUGCAAAGGGGCUGCGACAACUGGAAAUGGAAACACGUUACACUGAAGAUGGCAGAAACAUCAAGGUAAGCAGGAAUUUCCAACUGAGUUAAAAGAAGCCUGUGGAGAUCCACAUAAAAGCUGGCUCCCAUCCACAUGCUGGGACAGAGCGCUAGCCCGUGGCACUGUGACCAAGGAGGACUUCAAGUCGGAUCUGCGUGGGUUGAAAUCCCUGGGCGGCACUCAGGUGCAGGUGGUCUUCUGGUCAGUUCCUGAACCUCUCUCUGAGUCUGCCUUUCCUUCCUAAAAUGGGAUAAUUCCCAUAACUGCCAAAGGGACUGUUGGGAGGCUCAGAGAAAGAACGGCUGGCAGAGUCCCUGCCUCAGCCACAUUCACCUGGGACAGCCGUGGUUGAAGCCCUUAUCGUUGCCCCGGGAGUUUGAUGCUGCUGCGGCCCAGAGAGCAGUUCCGUCUCUGGUCCUGAAUUUGGGAGCUUUGCCCCAGCUCACAGACACCCCAUCUUGAUAAGCAGGGCGAAAUGAGGCGUUCUGUUUUUCCUCUUGAAGAUGAUCAUAAAUAUGUAUUUAUUUUUCGUGUGUUUGUUGACAUUAGGAAUUAGAAUACACAUAGAGUAGAAACUGACAUUAAGUGCAACCCAACAGAGACCUCUUCUCUAUUGGUUUUAACAAAUUUCACUUUCUCUUGCUCAUCCCCUGUGGGUGCAGUAAGCUCUAUCCACGUGGUUGUGGCCUCGCUCUGGAACUGAAAGCGCGUUUCCAGUGACUUCACAGGAGGCUCAAUGCGAACCAAGCCUCCGGAGGAGGGCCGUGCGGUCUAUUGGCAUCUCCCUAAUGUGUGGAAAGAAAAUCCUUCUUUAAGGUGCAAACAAUUACUGAAGCGCAAGGUACAAAUGGAGGGGUAUUACUACCUGCUGCUUUGUGAGCAUCAAUGCCAUCGAUUGCUAGCUGCUCUCAUCCACCUGCUGAGCUCACUGCAAAGAGGGGAUCGCCCACCGCAGGCUACAACAAUAGCACUUCACAUGAAAGGCCUGUGGAUUUUUCCCAGCUAAGUAAUCAUCCGAAGGCAAAUAUGAGGCUUUAAAUAGACGCUUGAAAACUUUAUUCUCUGGAGUAACUAACCUCUCAACGGUGAUUUCUUUCCUUCUUUUUUGCCAUUGAUGAUAUUCUUUUUUAAAAAACGAUACUUACUUUUAAAUAGUAUUCUCUCGAAACACAAUGGUUUCAGCCACAUAACGCAGCUCCAUUUCUGUUGUAGCUGCUGGGAAAAGCCAAGCACCCACGCGGAGACACCCCCACACAAUACUUCCAGGGAGAAAGAUGUGACGGAGGUUUUUCCUUUUUUUAAAGGCAGCCCAUACUUAGGAUUGUGAAUACGCAUGGCUUGUGCCAUGGUCCUCUCUGCUCAGCCUGCGCUUGCUUCUCACUUGAAGGAGACUAAGAGUGAGCACCCGGGAUGCCCCAACCCUGUUUGUGUCCCAGGGACGCUUCCUUUGAGAGGGUGCAGGGGUUCAGAACACGCUGCCCCAGAAUGCGCUGCUCUGGUAUAAGGAUUAUUUUGAGCUGAAGACAAUUGAAAACAGCAGACACGGGACGAGCUCUCUGCCUGCCCCACCUGCCUGAAAGCAGGAAGUUAAGUUCCCCUGUGAAGGUGCCCCCACUUCCCAAAGGGGAGCAGCACCUUACCACUCCUGCCAAGAGAGCGCCGAGGCGUGUCCUCAAACCCACCUUGCCAGCCAGCCCUCAGCUGCCUUGGCCCCUGGGUAUAGGUAUUUACCUGCACACGGUCUGCCACCCUGCCCUCAAAAGCUGAGCGCCGUUCCCCUUGACUUGUCACUCCUCUACAGAUUUAUUGUUCUUGCAUUAAGAUGCCACGUGAGCCCGAGUUCUAAUCACCCCUUUGAGUGACUUGUCCUCGAAUGCUCCUGCGUGUAUGUGGCCGCACAUGUUAAUAACCUGUUUAGUUUUCUCUGAUUCAUCUUUUUGUCAGUGUAGCUCUCAAGACAUCUGCCGGAGAAUCUCAGAGGGUAGAAGAAAAAAGGUUUUCUCCUCCCCUGUGAGGGUUUGCUGGCCAACUUGACCUACAGGUUAGGAACGAGGUUAUACAGAGAAUUCACUUACAGAAAUAAGUCAGACAGAGAAAGACAUACUGCAUGGCCUCAUUUAUAAGUGGAUCUAGAAAAGCGAAACUCUUAGAAGCAGAAAGUAGAGGGGUGGCUGUCAGGGGUUGGGGGUGAUGUUUUCGAAGGCGACAGACUUCCAGUUAUAAGAUGAGUAAGUUCUGGGGCUCUGAUGUACGGUGUGGUGACUACAGUUAAUAAUACUGCGUUGUAUACUGGAAAGCGGCUAAGGGAGUAGAUCUUAAAUGUUCUCACCACAGAAAAGAAACGGUAAUUACGUGAUGAGAUGGUCAGCUAAUGCUAUGGUGCUAAUUGUUUUGUAAUUAUAAGUGUAUGAAAUCCACAUGUUGUACGUCUUAAACUUACACAGUGUUAUAUGCCUAUUAUAUUGCAAUAAAAUUGGAAAAAAAAG
rnacentral:lncRNA from 1 species